rnacentral:rRNA from 1 species
UACGUAGGGUGCAAGCGUUGUCCGGAAUUAUUGGGCGUAAAGAGCUCGUAGGCGGCUCGUCGCGUCGACCGUGAAAACCCGCGGCUUAACUGCGGGCUUGCGGUUGAUACGGGCGGGCUAGAGUUCGGUAGGGGAGACUGGAAUUCCCGGUGUAGCGGUGAAAUGCGCAGAUAUCAGGAGGAACACCGGUGGCGAAGGCGGGUCUCUGGGCCGAUACUGACGCUGAGGAGCGAAAGCGUGGGGAGCGAACAGG